CACAGAGCUAUGCGCAGCUGGAACGGGAUCUUAUCGUUUGAAUCCUAGCACCCAGUCAGUGUCCCUCCUGUCUCCUCUGAGGGCACAUCAGAGGGCUUCAGGAAAAUAAAGUGGGCACCAGGUGCUGAAUAAUGUCUCUGUAUAGAGUGAGUGGGUGAUUGGCUAGCUGUCAAACUACAGCGGGGAGGCAGAGCCAGGCUUCUUUCAAGGAGUACAUUGCACCCCUCAACAGAGAAAACUUCAGGUUAAUCAGCUCAGUGGAAGAUGAAUUAUCAUCCCACAUUCCAUGUGUGAUUGGAGGAGUUCCAAAAAGAACCUUCCAAGGAUGGCGGCCCCACUUCUGGGGAGAUGGGCAGUGGCUCUAGUUCUGGAAAGUGCAUCCCCAGGCACUACGAUAGAUGUGGCUUUGGGUACCUUCCUGCCUCUCACUGUGCCACCUGCAGACUUUGCCAAAGAGAUGAGUCCGGCAAGGACUCUGCUUCUUGUGUAAUCAAGGAAAUAGGAUCAAUCAGAAGGGGACAUCCGCAUCCCGACGCCCAACGUCUACAUCCUACUACAUGUGUCCUGCGCAUUUGAAUGCCUCCUGCUACAAAGGAUGAGAUGUUUAUGCUCCUGUGUAAGAACCACCCCUCCCGCCUGCCCAGUUGCUCUUGCAGUUGUCUCCUAUCACUUCUGAAUCAUUUUCUCCCCCUCUCCUGAAUCAUUUCAAUCAACAUGCCAAGAUUCUUGAGUAUCUCUCAUCUUAAAAACAAAAAUUCCACCUCUCUUGACCUUAUACCACUCUCCAGCUAUCACCCAUUUUUUGUUUGCUUUUACAGCAAAACCCUUAAAGAAUUGUCUCUACUCCUCUGGU